GCCUUGGCGAGCCCGGAGCCCCCACGCGCACUAAGCCCCUCUGACGCCUGCAGGCUUUGUCUGGCGGCGGCGAGGGAAGGUCUUAGGCGGGCCGCCGGGAUCCUGGCGCACGUCAGGGGACUGACCCUGUGCGUGUAAAGUAACAGCCGCCAACUGCUCGCAGGCAGCGGCCAGGACAGCCCUUUCCUUUCUCUGCAGCAAGUUUGCCGAACUUGGGGGCUUCUUGGUCAGAACCCGAGGUGAACCAGCGAUCGCAGCGAGUCUCCGCUUUGGGGAAGAAAAUCUCUGCCUUCUCUUUCCUGGGAAUCGUGCCUAGUCGCCACUGACCCAUUUCACCCUUUUUAGUCAGGUGUGAGUAAAUUUGGUUGGCAAAGCUAGGAUGCAAACCCGGAGGAAGAGCCUCACGUUUUCCAUGUUUUCCUCUGGACGGUGCAAGCGUCAGACUUGGCCUCCUGGACUUUGAGACAACCUUAUGAGGACACUCCGUUGUUUGAGGAAGAUUCUGGUUCAUUAUUGGGGUCAGAAAACAUAGCUUCUACACUGUCUCCCACUCCUGGAAGCCCCCUUCACUGACUCCUCAAGUCCAGAAUUUUUACUGUAUUCUUGCACAGAGAAUACAAGAACUGUAUGAAGAAACAUGCAGC